UGGGGAAUUUUGGACAAUGGGCGAAAGCCUGAUCCAGCAAUGCCGCGUGUGUGAAGAAGGCCUUCGGGUUGUAAAGCACUUUUGUCCGGAAAGAAAUCCUUGGCUCUAAUACAGUCGGGGGAUGACGGUACCGGAAGAAUAAGCACCGGCUAACUACGUGCCAGCAGCCGCGGUAAUACGUAGGGUGCAAGCGUUAAUCGGAAUUACUGGGCGUAAAGCGUGCGCAGGCGGUUUGCUAAGACCGAUGUGAAAUCCCCGGGCUAACCUGGGAACUGCAUUGGUGACUGGCAGGCUAGAGUAUGGCAGAGGGGGGUAGAAUUCCACGUGUAGCAGUGAAAUGCGUAGAGAUGUGGAGGAAUACCGAUGGCGAAGGCAGCCCCCCUGGGCCAAUACUGACGCUCAUGCACGAAAGCGUGGGGAGCAAACAGGAUUAGAUACCCUGGUAGUCCACGCCCUAAAACGAUGUCAACUAGUUGUUGGGGAUUCAUUUCCUUAGUAACGUAGCUAACGCGUGAAGUUGACCGCCUGGGGAGUACGGUCGCAAGAUUAAAACUUAAAGGAAUUGACGGGGUCAUAGCUGUUUCCU
rnacentral:rRNA from 1 species